rnacentral:rRNA from 1 species
AUUGAACGCUGGCGGCAGGCCUAACACAUGCAAGUCGAACGAGUGGCGGACGGGUGAGUAAUGUCUGGGAAACUGCCCGAUGGAGGGGGAUAACUACUGGAAACGGUAGCUAAUACCGCAUACCAUCGGAUGUGCCCAGAUGGUUUUAGCUCGGAGGUGGGGUAACGGCUCACCUAGGCGACGAUCCCUCGCUGGUCUGAGAGGAUGACCAGCCACACUGGAACUGAGACACGGUCCAGACUCCUACGGGAGGCAGCAGUUGGGAAUAUUGCACAAUGGGCGCAAGCCUGAUGCAGCCAUGCCGCGUGUAUGAAGAAGGCCUUCGGGUUGUAAAGUACUUGCAGCGGGGAGGAGGGAAACGAAGAAGAAGCAACGGCUAACUCCGUGCCAGCAGCCGCGGUAAUUC